CCUACGGGGGGCUGCAGUAAGGAAUAUUGGUCAAUGGACGAAAGUCUGAACCAGCCAUCCCGCGUGCAGGAUGAAAGCCCUAUGGGUUGUAAACUGCUUUUAGCAGAGAAGAAAAGCUUUCAUUAAUGAGAGUCUGACGGUAUCUGCAGAAUAAGCACCGGCUAACUCCGUGCCAGCAGCCGCGGUAAUCCGGAGGGUGCGAGCGUUAGUCGUAAUUAGUGGGUGUAAAGGGUGUAUUAACGGAGUAUUGAAAUCUUGUCGCUUAACGAUAAAAUUGCCAAUGAUACUGGUACUCUUGAAUUGGGUUGAGGUUAGCGGAAUGUGACAUGUAGCGGUGAAAUGCAUAGAUAUGUCAUGGAACACCAAUUGCGAAGGCAGCUAACUGGGCCUUGAUUGACGCUGAGGCACGAAAGCGUGGGUAGCGAACAGGAUUAGAUACCCUGGUAGUC
rnacentral:rRNA from 1 species